rnacentral:rRNA from 1 species
CUUAAAUUGAAGAGUUUGAUCAUGGCUCAGAUUGAACGCUGGCGGCAGGCCUAACACAUGCAAGUCGAGCGGAAACGACACUAACAAUCCUUCGGGUGCGUUA